AAAUUGAAGAGUUUGAUCAUGGCUCAGAUUGAAUGCUGGCGGCAGGCCUAACACAUGCAAGUCGAACGGUAACAGGAAACAGCUUGCUGUUUCGCUGACGAGUGGCGGACGGGUGAGUAAUGUCUGGGAAACUGCCUGAUGGAGGGGGAUAACUACUGGAAACGGUAGCUAAUACCGCAUAACGUCGCAAGACCAAAGAGGGGGACCUUCGGGCCUCUUGCCAUCGGAUGUGCCCAGAUGGGAUUAGCUAGUAGGUGGGGUAACGGCUCACCUAGGCGACGAUCCCUAGCUGGUCUGAGAGGAUGACCAGCCACACUGGAACUGAG
rnacentral:rRNA from 1 species